UCGAGCGGNAAGGCCCUUCGGGGUACACGAGCGGCGAACGGGUGAGUAACACGUGGGUGAUCUGCCCUGUACUUCGGGAUAAGCCUGGGAAACUGGGUCUAAUACCGGAUAUGACCUUACAUCGCAUGGUGUUUGGUGGAAAGAUUUAUCGGUACAGGAUGGGCCCGCGGCCUAUCAGCUUGUUGGUGGGGUAAUGGCCUACCAAGGCGACGACGGGUAGCCGGCCUGAGAGGGCGACCGGCCACACUGGGACUGAGACACGGCCCAGACUCCUACGGGAGGCAGCAGUGGGGAAUAUUGCACAAUGGGCGAAAGCCUGAUGCAGCGACGCCGCGUGAGGGAUGACGGCCUUCGGGUUGUAAACCUCUUUCGACAGGGACGAAGCGCAAGUGACGGUACCUGUAGAAGAAGCACCGGCCAACUACGUGCCAGCAGCCGCGGUAAUACGUAGGGUGCGAGCGUUGUCCGGAAUUACUGGGCGUAAAGAGCUUGUAGGCGGUUUGUCGCGUCGUCCGUGAAAACUUGGGGCUCAACCCCAAGCUUGCGGGCGAUACGGGCAGACUUGAGUACUGCAGGGGAGACUGGAAUUCCUGGUGUAGCGGUGAAAUGCGCAGAUAUCAGAGGAACACCGGUGGCGAAGGCGGGUCUCUGGGCAGUAACUGACGCUGAGAAGCGAAAGCGUGGGUAGCGAACAGGAUUAGAUACCCUGGUAGUCCACGCCGUAAACGGUGNCGCUAGNUGUGGGUUUCCUUCCACGGGAUCCGUGNCGUAGCUAACGCAUUA
rnacentral:rRNA from 1 species